UCGGACAUCAAAAGAUCGUAUUUCUUCAGCAUGUUUGGAUGAUUAACUCGAUUCCUACUUGUGUUACAGUUCAGUAACAUGUUUCUCUGUUAAAUGUGCUCUGUUUGUCUUGAUAAUUCCACUUGAACCGUCAGCGGCGGACUAUAACAGAUCAUAAUCGCAGUUGUUUGGUGCAAGACCAUAGAAUGGUACCCAAUUUUGCCUGCCCUCAUCAGUCAUCACAAUAUAAAGGAUUUAACCUUUAGAAGUAGGACAAUCCUGCAAAUUUGCAGCUGUACAAAUUGCACUUCAUCUCAUCUGCUGCUGGAAUAAAUAAUGAAAGAUUUUCAAACCAGUGUCCAAGA